rnacentral:misc_RNA from 1 species
AACUUCUAAGAUGCAUUUCAGAAAUUGGGACCAACAACAAUCAGUAUAUCCCCCUUCCUAUAUUCAGUUUGAUAAACCCCAUUGGCCACCUUCAUGGCCAUUCAAAACUCAGAAAAUUUGAAAUAGUUAGCAUUUACAUACUCUGGGGGAGUGAACAGAACAUCCACUUGAGUAGUCUAUACAUUGUCGUCUUCACUGUAAUCAUCGUCGUAAUCAGAAGCUGAUUCAUCAUUUCUGGGCUUCUAGUUCAUCGUGUUACCGAGAGUGAACAGCAAAUGACUAUUGAACACAUGAGUAAGAUUAUCGAGCUGUCACCUUCAUUGGAAACUGCAGAAGCGGCACAAGAAGAAAAAAAGAAAGCAGUCCAUAGGAAAUGGUCAACGCCGGCCACCUGUAGCAUAUGCCUCGGUUGCUCCAUUUCCUUUCUUGCCAGCUCCUUCAUAUGCUACAUUUUAAGUUAAUGAACCAUUCCUCCAAUUUUAUUGUCUUACUACUGUAAUAAAAAUGGGAAGGGAACUGCCUCUUUACAAGGUUUAUUGGAUGUUAUAUUUGAUAAAGAUUUGAGUUACCCAUGGUGUGGGAUGUCUUAACAAUUUUGUUGUCUUACUGUAAUAAAAACGGGAAGAGAACUACCUCUUUAUAAGGUUCAUUGUAUCUUAUAUUUGAUAUAG